CUCGAACCAGGAAGUCGCCGUCUCGCUGCACGAGGUUUUCUGCCACCUGGGGGACGAAAUGAAGACCCAUUCAGUCACUGAAGUACUACUUGCUGACCACCUACGAUGUGCCCAGUGCUGUCACAGGCACUGGGUGCACAGCCGUGAGUGGAGCCCAGCGCGGUGGAGCUCCUGCUGCGGGGGAGUGAACGAGCCACUGGGAAGGCACGUGAUGUGGCGGAGUGAAGGGGAAAGUAACCCGGGAGAAAUUCCAUUUCUUGGACUUGAGCCUGAGGAAAUAAUUGUAGUUGUGAACACAGAGUUAUUGUGGAGGAGGCUGGCCCGAGUGCCCGUGAACCUCGGUGCGUGUGCACGGCGGCGCACACACGGUGCAGAAGAAGAACACGCCACAGCUGGAGACACCUCCCAGGGCACGCCACCAAGUGGGGAGAGCGGGCUACCACCCAGUGUACCGCGUGACCUUGCACUUGGUUUAGAAAAGUCUGGGAGGAUUGAUAUCACACUGUUCACAGGGGUUUCCUCCAGGAUGGAGAAUUGUGGGUAAGAGUGUAAUUUUCUUCCUUUUUU